rnacentral:rRNA from 1 species
UGGGGAAUUUUGGACAAUGGGGGAAACCCUGAUCCAGCCAUCCCGCGUGUGCGAUGAAGGCCUUCGGGUUGUAAAGCACUUUUGGCAGGAAAGAAACGUCAUGGGUUAAUACCCCGUGAAACUGACGGUACCUGCAGAAUAAGAACCGGCUAACUACGUGCCAGCAGCCGCGGUAAUACGUAGGGUGCAAGCGUUAAUCGGAAUUACUGGGCGUAAAGCGUGCGCAGGCGGUUCGGAAAGAAAGAUGUGAAAUCCCAGAGCUCAACUUUGGAACUGCAUUUUUAACUACCGGGCUAGAGUGUGUCAGAGGGAGGUGGAAUUCCGCGUGUAGCAGUGAGAUGCGUAGUUAUGCGGAGGAACACCGAUGGCGAAGGCAGCCUCCUGGGAUAACACUGACGCUCAUGCACGAAAGCGUGGGGAGCAAACAGG